rnacentral:lncRNA from 1 species
UUUCAUUCAUAUUUUUUUUCUCCUUUUACUUUUUUCUUUUUUUUUUUUCUUUUUCAUAAGGAGUAUGUAUUGACAUGUAUACAUCCUUCUAUUUUUUUUUCAUUCAUUUUUUUUCUUUUUUAUUUUCUUUUUCUAUUUUUCUUUUCUUUUUCUACCAACUUCUGAAAUAUUGCAAACAUAAUUAUUCAACCCCACACAACUCCAGAUAAGACUCUUUCAACCCUUUGACUAGGGUGAUAUAACAUUGUUUUUCACUUCUCGAUUUGUAAUGAGUUUUAAACAAAAAAAA